CGUCUAUAUACGUAUAGCAUAUCAAUAAGCGGAGGAAAAGAAACUAACAAGGAUUCCCUUAGUAACGGCGAGUGAAGCGGGAAGGGCUCAAAUUUGAAAUCUUCAAGGUUUUACCUUGACGAAUUGUAGUUUAAAGAAGUGUUUUCUGUUGGAGUUUCGGUAAAAGUUCUUUGGAAUAGGACAUCAUAGAGGGUGAGAAUCCCGUAUUUGACCAUUACUUUCAGCUGUGUGAUACACUUUCAAAGAGUCGGAUUGUUUGGGAAUGCAGUCCAAAAUGGGUGGUAAAUUUCAUCUAAAGCUAAAUACUGGCGAGAGACCGAUAGCGAACAAGUACCGUGAGGGAAAGAUGAAAAGAACUUUGAAAAGAGAGUUAAACAGUACGUGAAAUUGUCAAAAGGGAAGCGUUUGACACCAGUGUUGUUUUCUCGAAAAUCAAUUAAAAAUGGCCGGAUGUUGUGUUGUAUUGACUUUAUCAGCUUUCUGCACUUUUUUCUUGUCUUUUUUAAUGCACUUUUCGUUUAACAAGUCAACAUCAAUUUCUUUUGCUGUAAAAGGGUCAUUGGAAGGUGGCUUUCAUUUCGGUGAAAGUGUUUAUAGCCUUUGACUUCUGCAAUCGGAGAGAUUGAGGUCUGCAGCGUAGAUCCUUCGGGGUUAGAUGCAUUUGUGCUAAGCUAUAGCCUUUCAUAGACAACUUGUUGACUAUGAUCAGUCAUGUAGCUUACUCGCUUAUGCUAUUUUACCUACGCUUAGGAUGUUGAUCUGUAGUGCGUGCGC
rnacentral:rRNA from 1 species